AGCGAACGCUGGCGGCAGGCUUAACACAUGCAAGUCGAGCGGGCAUAGCAAUAUGUCAGCGGCAGACGGGUGAGUAACGCGUGGGAACGUACCUUUUGGUUCGGAACAACACAGGGAAACUUGUGCUAAUACCGGAUAAGCCCUUAAGGGGAAAGAUUUAUCGCCGAAAGAUCGGCACGCGUCUGAGUAGCUAGUUGGUGAGGUAAUGGCUCAGCAAGGCGACGAUCAGGAGCUGGUCUGAGAGUAUGAUCAGCCACAUUGCGACUGAGACACGGCCCAAACUCCUACGGGAGGCAGCAGUGGGGAAUAUUGGACAAUGGGCGCAAGCCUGAUCCAGCCAUGCCGCGUGAGUGAUGAAGGCCCUAGGGUUGUAAAGCUCUUUUGUGCGGGAAGAUAAUGACGGUACCGCAAGAAUAAGCCCCGGCUAACUUCGUGCCAGCCGCCGCAGUAA
rnacentral:rRNA from 1 species